AGGAGAGUUUGAUCCUGGCUCAGGACGAACGCUGGCGGCGUGCCUAACACAUGCAAGUCGAACGGAACUAUUUUGACAGAUUCCUUCGGGAUGAUGGAUUUUUAGUUUAGUGGCGGACGGGUGAGUAACGCGUGAGUAACCUGCCUCUAAGAGGGGAAUAACGUUCUGAAAAGAUCGCUAAUACCGCAUAACAUAUUGAAGCCGCAUGACUUUGAUAUCAAAGAUUUAUCGCUUAGAGAUGGACUCGCGUCCGAUUAGCUAGUUGGCGGGGUAACGGCCCACCAAGGCGACGAUCGGUAGCCGGACUGAGAGGUUGAACGGCCACAUUGGGACUGAGACACGGCCCAGACUCCUACGGGAGGCAGCAGUGGGGGAUAUUGCGCAAUGGGGGCAACCCUGACGCAGCAACGCCGCGUGAAGGAUGAAGGUUUUCGGAUUGUAAACUUCUUUUGUUAGGGACGAAAAAUGACGGUACCUAACGAAUAAGCUCCGGCUAACUACGUGCCAGCAGCCGCGGUAAUACGUAGGGAGCAAGCGUUGUCCGGAUUUACUGGGUGUAAAGGGUGCGUAGGCGGCCGAGUAAGUCAGAUGUGAAAUCUAUGGGCUCAACCCAUAAACUGCAUUUGAAACUACUUGGCUUGAGUGAAGUAGAGGCAGGCGGAAUUCCCUGUGUAGCGGUGAAAUGCGUAGAGAUAGGGAGGAACACCAGUGGCGAAGGCGGCCUGCUGGGCUUUAACUGACGCUGAGGCACGAAAGCGUGGGUAGCAAACAGGAUUAGAUACCCUGGUAGUCCCCU
rnacentral:rRNA from 1 species